AGAGUUUGAUCCUGGCUCAGGAUGAACGCUAGCUACAGGCUUAACGCAUGCAAGUCGAGGGGCAGCAUGGUCUUAGCUUGCUAAGGCUGAUGGCGACCGGCGCACGGGUGAGUAACACGUAUCCAACCUGCCGUCUACUCUUGGCCAGCCUUCUGAAAGGAAGAUUAAUCCAGGAUGGCAUCAUGAGUUCACAUGUCCGCAUGAUUAAAGGUAUUUUCCGGUAGACGAUGGGGAUGCGUUCCAUUAGAUAGUAGGCGGGGUAACGGCCCACCUAGUCAACGAUGGAUAGGGGUUCUGAGAGGAAGGUCCCCCACAUUGGAACUGAGACACGGUCCAAACUCCUACGGGAGGCAGCAGUGAGGAAUAUUGGUCAAUGGGCGAUGGCCUGAACCAGCCAAGUAGCGUGAAGGAUGACUGCCCUAUGGGUUGUAAACUUCUUUUAUAAAGGAAUAAAGUCGGGUAUGCAUACCCGUUUGCAUGUACUUUAUGAAUAAGGAUCGGCUAACUCCGUGCCAGCAGCCGCGGUAAUACGGAGGAUCCGAGCGUUAUCCGGAUUUAUUGGGUUUAAAGGGAGCGUAGAUGGAUGUUUAAGUCAGUUGUGAAAGUUUGCGGCUCAACCGUAAAAUUGCAGUUGAUACUGGAUGUCUUGAGUGCAGUUGAGGCAGGCGGAAUUCGUGGUGUAGCGGUGAAAUGCUUAGAUAUCACGAAGAACUCCGAUUGCGAAGGCAGCCUGCUAAGCUGCAACUGACAUUGAGGCUCGAAAGUGUGGGUAUCAAACAGGAUUAGAUACCCUGGUAGUCCACACGGUAAACGAUGAAUACUC
rnacentral:rRNA from 1 species